rnacentral:rRNA from 1 species
GAUGAACGCUAGCUACAGGCUUAACACAUGCAAGUCGAGGGGCAGCAUGGGCUUAGCUUGCUAAGCCCGAUGGCGACCGGCGCACGGGUGAGUAACACGUAUCCAACCUUCCGGUAACUCCGGUAUAGCCUUUCGAAAGAAAGAUUAAUCCCGGAUAGUAUGGUGAUUCCGCAUGGUUUCUCCAUUAAAGGAUUCCGGUUACCGAUGGGGAUGCGUUCCAUUAGGCAGUUGGCGGGGUAACGGCCCACCAAACCUACGAUGGAUAGGGGUUCUGAGAGGAAGGUCCCCCACAUUGGAACUGAGACACGGUCCAA